CAAUGACGUUCUGUUGUACAGCACUCGAGGGAUAACAUCAGCCAAUCAGUUUACAGUGCACAGACAACUUCCUCUGCGCGGCAUGACAAUCCGGGAGAGUGAGGACGAGUGGGGCGUCCCGCACUCCUUCACACUGAUGGUACAGCAGCAGUCACUGGUGGUCGCCGCAUGUUCAGAGUCAGAAAUGGAGAAAUGGAUGGAGGAUUUAAAGAUGGCGGUUGACAUGGCUGAAGAGUGUAAUGGACUGACCGCUGACCUGCUGUCUGCUAGCAA